rnacentral:rRNA from 1 species
AUUGAACGCUGGCGGCAUGCUUUACACAUGCAAGUCGAACGGCAGCGCGGGCUUCGGCCUGGCGGCGAGUGGCGAACGGGUGAGUAAUACAUCGGAACGUGCCCAGUAGUGGGGGAUAGCUCGGUGAAAGCCGGAUUAAUACCGCAUACGACCUGAGGGUGAAAGCGGGGGAUCUUCGGACCUCGCGCUAUUGGAGCGGCCGAUGGCAGAUUAGCUAGUUGGUGGGGUAAAGGCCUACCAAGGCGACGAUCUGUAGCUGGUCUGAGAGGACGACCAGCCACACUGGGACUGAGACACGGCCCAGACUCCUACGGGAGGCAGCAGUGGGGAAUUUUGGACAAUGGGCGAAAGCCUGAUCCAGCAAUGCCGCGUGUGUGAUGAAGGCCUUCGGGUUGUAAAGCACUUUUGGCGGGAACGAAAAGGACUGUGCCAAUACCACGGUUUGAUGACGGUACCCGCAGAAUAAGCACCGGCUAACUACGUG